AUUGAACGCUGGCGGCAGUCCUAACACAUGCAAGUCGAACGAGUGGCGUACGGGUGAGUAAUGUCUGGGAAACUGCCUGAUGGAGGGGGAUAACUACUGGAAACGGUAGCUAAUACCGCAUACCAUCAGAUGUGCCCAGAUGGGAUUAGCUAGUUGGUGGGGUAACGCCUCACCAAGGCGACGAUCCCUAGCUGGUCUGAGUGGAUGACCAGCCACACUGGAACUUAGACACGGUCCAGACUCCUACGCGAGGCAGCAGUGGGGAAUAUUGCACAAUGGGCGCACGCCUGAUGCAGCCAUGCCGCGUGUAUGAAGAAGGCUUUCUGGUUGUAAAGUACUUUCAGCGGGGAGGCGUUACCCGCAGAAGAAGCACCGGCUAACUCCGUGCCAGCAGCCGCGGUAAUUC
rnacentral:rRNA from 1 species